rnacentral:tRNA from 1 species
CGACUCUGGUGGGACUCGAACCCACAACCUUUGAAUGCCUCCAUCUAAUCUAGAAGUCCAAUGCGCUAUCCAUUGCGCCACAGAGCC